UACGAAGGGAGCUAGCGUUGUUCGGAAUCACUGGGCGUAAAGCGCACGUAGGCGGAUGUGUCAGUCAGGGGUGAAAUCCCGGAGCUCAACUUCGGAACUGCCUUUGAUACAGCACAUCUGGAGUCCGGAAGAGGUGGGUGGAAUUCCUAGUGUAGAGGUGAAAUUCGUAGAUAUUCGCAAGAACACCAGUGGCGAAGGCGGCUCACUGGCCCGGUACUGACGCUGAGGCACGAAAGCGUGGGGAGCAAACAGG
rnacentral:rRNA from 1 species